rnacentral:rRNA from 1 species
GAGUUUGAUCCUGGCUCAGGAUGAACGCUAGCGGCAGGCUUAACACAUGCAAGUCGAGGGGCAGCGGGGUGUAGCAAUACAUCGCCGGCGACCGGCGCACGGGUGCGUAACACGUAUGGAAUCUGCCCUUUACUGGGGGAUAGCCCGGAGAAAUCCGGAUUAAUACCCCAUAACAGCCUGAGUGGCAUCACUUGGGUUUGAAAGCUCCGGCGGUAAAGGAUGACCAUGCGCACGAUUAGCUAGUUGGUGAGGUAAUGGCUCACCAAGGCUACGAUCGUUAGGGGGCCUGAGAGGGUUAUCCCCCACACUGGUACUGAGACACGGACCAGACUCCUACGGGAGGCAGCAGUGAGGAAUAUUGCGCAAUGGAGGAAACUCUGACGCAGCCAUGCCGCGUGCAGGAAGAAGGCGCUACGCGUUGUAAACUGCUUUUAUCCGGGAAGAAACCCCAGGACGUGUCCUGGGUUGACGGUACCGGAGGAAUAAGCACCGGCUAACUUCGUGCCAGCAGCCGCGGUAAUACGAAGGGUGCAAGCGUUAAUCGGAAUUACUGGGCGUAAAGCGUGCGCAGGCGGUGCUGUAAGACAGGCGUGAAAUCCCCGGGCUUAACCUGGGAAUGGCGCUUGUGACUGCAGUGCUGGAGUGUGGCAGAGGGGGAUGGAAUUCCGCGUGUAGCAGUGAAAUGCGUAGAUAUGCGGAGGAACACCGAUGGCGAACGCAAUCCCCUGGGCCUGCACUGACGCUCAUGCACGAAAGCGUGGGGAGCAACAGGAUUAGAUACCCUGGUAGUCCACGCCCUA